rnacentral:rRNA from 1 species
UACAGAGGUGCCAAGCGUUAGGCGGAAUCACUGGGCUUAAAGCGCGUGUAGGCGGGUCGUUAAGUGUCCGCGUGAAAUCCCACGGCUCAACCCGUGGAACUGCCGGGCAUACUGGCGAUCUUGAGGCAUUCAGGGGCGAGCGGAACAAAAUGGUGGAGCGGUGAAAUGCGUAGAUAUCAUUUGGAACGCCAAUGGUGAAAACAGCUCGCUGGGAAUGAUCUGACGCUGAGACGCGAAAGCCAGGGGAGCGAACGGGG